rnacentral:misc_RNA from 1 species
UACGGUCGCGUCGCGCUGGAUCUGCCGUCCGAAAACUUGACCCUUUGAGAGGCAGGGGUCAUGGUCACUGCAUCGCAGCACCCGGCGGACUUCAGGAACGAGUUGUCGAGCGACAGUUCGCCGAUUGAUCCGCGCGAUUUCCGGAACGCGCUGGGGUCCUAUGCGACCGGCGUAACGGUCAUCACGGCGGCAACGCCGGACGGCAGGCAGGCAGGCCUGACCUGCAAUUCGUUCGCGUCGGUCUCGCUGAAUCCGCCACUCGUUUUGUGGAGCCUGGUAUCUUACUCGCCAAGCAUGAGCAUCUUUCAGAACGCGAGCCAUUUUGCGGUCAACGUGCUGGGAGCAUCCCAGCAGGGCUUGGCAAAGCAAUUUGCCACGCGGGCCGAGGACAAGUUCGCUGGGGUCUCGUGGAAGCCCGGUCUGGGCGAUGCGCCGGUCCUCGCGGAUGCGGUGGCCACAUUUCAAUGCCGCAGCGCUGACCGCUAUUACGGGGGCGACCACGUUAUUUUCCUUGGUGCUGUCGAGGCUUAUGAUUACAACCGUGGAGAGCCGUUGCUGUUUGCACGCGGAAAUUUUGGUCACUUUGUUCCUGGGGCAUAACCCCAGCGGGUUUUCAUGAAGAAGAAACCGUCACCAUCGGCUGCGCGCGUCAAGCAGAAGCGCCUGU